CCAUUCCCAAACCCGACCCGGAUUUUAACUGCCACUUCCCUCGACGUUGAGUUAUGCGACCUCCAUAGCAGACCUUCAAGUUCCAGGUUGUCACUGCCGUCGCCCGAUUCCAGCCGGAACUGCCGCUAACUGCAGAACCUCCUAUGUUGGUCGACAGCCACGCCAAGAUCAGCUCUGUUAUAUAAUACUUACUUCCAUCCACCAUUGUUUGCUUUUCAAUUAUCAAGUUCCUAACAUCAAGAAGCUAGUUGACACUGCCUUAAUUAUGGCAAAUAUAAUAGGGGAAAAAUACCAGAACCCAAAGAGGAGGGGUGAUGAAGACGAUUGAUGCCUAUAAAGCUUCUGAAAAAGCACAAUUUGGUAGAAGAGAAUUUGUAAGGAUUUAAGUUUAUUAAUUUGCUCUUUUAAGGCAAACAUUCUCAUUCUUGUCUUUUAUUGCACUCAAAUUUUCUUCAAGAUACAAUUUAAAGAAUAUACUCUGGUUUUUCA